CGCCUUAAAGCAAUUGGCAGCCAGUGUUUUGGUAUUGAAGCGCAGCACAUUUUGCGAUUCUAGCCUGAAAUAGGAGCAUCCAGUAAGUCAUUUUUCACUUUUGAGGUCGGAUCAGGAGGAUACCCG
rnacentral:rRNA from 1 species